UACGGGGGAUCCAAGCGUUAUCCGGAAUUACUGGGCGUAAAGAGUUGCGUAGGUGGUUAAGUAAGUUGGUAGUGAAAGCGUGAGGCUCAACCUCAUAUCCAUUACCAAAACUACUUUGACUAGAGAAUGAGAGAGGUAGCUAGAAUUCCUUGUGUAGGAGUGAAAUCCGUAGAUAUAAGGAGGAAUACCGAUGGCGUAGGCAGGCUACUGGCUCAUUUCUGACACUAAGGCACGAAAGCGUGGGGAGCGACCGGG
rnacentral:rRNA from 1 species